AGGGAGGUGUCUGUGGUGGGCAGGUGGUCUGGAGGCAUUAGGAGGGAGGUGUCUGUGGUGGGCAGGUGGUCUGGAGGGAUUAGGAGGGAGGUGCCCGUGGUGGGCAGGUGGUCUGGUGGGAUUAGGAGGGAGGUGCCUGUGGUGGGCAGGUGGUCUGGAGGGAUUAGGAGGGAGGUGUCUGUGGCGGGCAGGUUGUCUGGUGGGAUUAGGAGGGAGGUGCCC
rnacentral:lncRNA from 1 species